GUCUUUUUGAUUAUAAUUUAAAGUCUAACCUGCCCACUGAAUAUUUUGAAGGGCCGCGGUAUUUUGACUGUGCAAAGGUAGCAUAAUCAUUAGUCUUUUAAUUGGAGGCUUGUAUGAAUGGUUGGAUGAGGUAUUAACUGUCUCAAUUUAAUAAAUAAUAGAAUUUUAUUUUUAAGUUAAAAAGCUUAAAUUUUAUUAAAAGACGAGAAGACCCUAUAGAUCUUUAUAAUUAAUUUUAUAAUAAUUUUUUAGAUUAAAUUUAUUUUUAUAAGAUAAAUUAUUAUAUUGGGGUGAUAAAAAAAUUUAUAAAACUUUUUUUAUAUUUAAACAAUGAUAUUUGAUUAAUUGAUCCAUUUUUUGUGAUUAUAAGAUUAAGUUACCUUAGGGAUAACAGCGUAAUUUUUUUGGAGAGUUCAUAUCGAUAAAAAAGAUUGCGACCUCGAUGUUGAAUUAAAGGUUAAUUUUAGGUGUAGAAGUUUAAAAUUUUGGUCUGUUCGACCAUUAAAUC
rnacentral:rRNA from 1 species